GCCUAGCCCUAAACAUAGAUAGAAUACUACUUACUCUAUCCGCCCGGGUACUACGAGCACUAGCUUAAAACCCAAAGGACUUGGCGGCGCUUCACACCCACCUAGAGGAGCCUGUUCUAGAACCGAUAACCCCCGUUAAACCUCACCUUCUCUUGUCCCACCCCGCCUAUAUACCGCCGUCGUCAGCCCACCCUGUGAAGGCCCAGUAGUGAGCAAAACUGGUACAGCCCAAAACGUCAGGCCGAGGUGUAGCGAAUGAGAAGGGAAGAAAUGGGCUACAAUUGCUUAAACAGCUAAAACGAAUUGUUCUGCUGAAACCGCACUCAUGAAGGAGGAUUUAGAAGUAAGGGAAUAAAUAGAGUAUAUCCCUGAAAUGGUUCUGAAGCGUGC
rnacentral:rRNA from 1 species